GCAAGAUUAAAACUCAAAGGAAUAGACGGGGACCCGCACAAGUGGUGGAGCAUGUGGUUUAAUUCGAAGAUACGCGAAGAACCUUACCUAGCCUUGACAUAUUUUAGAACUCCGCAGAGAUGCAGAGGUGCCUUCGGGAGCUAAUUUACAGGUGCUGCACGGCUGUCGUCAGCUCGUGUCGUGAGAUGUUGGGUUAAGUCCCGCAACGAGCGCAACCCUCGUCACUAGUUACUAACGGUUCGGCCGAGGACUCUAGUGAGACUGCCUUCGUAAGGAGGAGGAAGGUGAGGACGACGUCAAGUCAUCAUGGCCCUUACGGCUAGGGCAACACACGUGCUACAAUGGCCAGGACAGUGAGACGCAAUACCGCGAGGUGGAGCAAAUCUAUAAACCUGGUCUCAGUUCGGAUUGUUCUCUGCAACUCGAGAACAUGAAGCUGGAAUCACUAGUAAUCGUAGAUCAGCUAUGCUACGGUGAAUACGUUCCCGGGUCUUGUACUCACCGCCCGUCACACCAUGGGAGUUGAUUUCACCCGAAGCGGGGAAGCUAAACUGGCUACCCUCCACGGUGGAAUUAGCGACUGGGGUGAAGUCGUAACAAGGUA
rnacentral:rRNA from 1 species